rnacentral:rRNA from 1 species
CCUACGGGAGGCAGCAGUGAGGAAUAUUGGUCAAUGGGUGCGAGCCUGAACCAGCCAAGUCGCGUGAGGGAAGACGGCCCUACGGGUUGUAAACCUCUUUUCUCAGGGACGAAGCAAGUGACGGUACCUGAGGAAUAAGCCACGGCUAACUACGUGCCAGCAGCCGCGGUAAUACGUAGGUGGCAAGCGUUAUCCGGAUUUACUGGGUGUAAAGGGCGUGUAGGCGGGAAAGCAAGUCAGAUGUGAAAACCAUGGGCUCAACCUGUGGCCUGCAUUUGAAACUGUUUUUCUUGAGUACUGGAGAGGCAGACGGAAUUCCUAGUGUAGCGGUGAAAUGCGUAGAUAUUAGGAGGAACACCAGUGGCGAAGGCGGUCUGCUGGACAGCAACUGACGCUGAGGCGCGAAAGCGUGGGGAGCAAACAGGAUUAGAUACCCCUGUAGUC